rnacentral:rRNA from 1 species
ACGCUGGCGGCGUGCUUAACACAUGCAAGUCGAACGGAAAGGCCCUGCUUUUGUGGGGUGCUCGAGUGGCGAACGGGUGAGUAACACGUGAGUAACCUGCCCCUGACUUUGGGAUAACUUCAGGAAACUGGGGCUAAUACCGGAUAGGAGCUCCUGCUGCAUGGUGGGGGUUGGAAAGUUUCGGCGGUUGGGGAUGGACUCGCGGCUUAUCAGCUUGUUGGUGGGGUAGUGGCUUACCAAGGCUUUGACGGGUAGCCGGCCUGAGAGGGUGACCGGCCACAUUGGGACUGAGAUACGGCCCAGACUCCUACGGGAGGCAGCAGUGGGGAAUAUUGCACAAUGGGCGGAAGCCUGAUGCAGCAACGCCGCGUGCGGGAUGACGGCCUUCGGGUUGUAAACCGCUUUCGCCUGUGACGAAGCGUGAGUGACGGUAAUGGGUAAAGAAGCACCGGCUAACUACGUGCCAGCAGCCGCGGUGAUACGUAGGGUGCGAGCGUUGUCCGGAUUUAUUGGGCGUAAAGGGCUCGUAGGUGGUUGAUCGCGUCGGAAGUGUAAUCUUGGGGCUUAACCCUGAGCGUGCUUUCGAUACGGGUUGACUUGAGGAAGGUAGGGGAGAAUGGAAUUCCUGGUGGAGCGGUGGAAUGCGCAGAUAUCAGGAGGAACACCAGUGGCGAAGGCGGUUCUCUGGGCCUUUCCUGACGCUGAGGAGCGAAAGCGUGGGGAGCGAACAGGCUUAGAUACCCUGGUAGUCCACGCUGUAAACGGUGGGUACUAGGUGUGGGGUCCAUUCCACGGGUUCCGUGCCGUAGCUAACGCUUUAAGUACCCCGCCUGGGGAGUACGGCCGCAAGGCUAAAACUCAAAGGAAUUGACGGGGCCCCGCACAAGCGGCGGAGCAUGCGGAUUAAUUCGAUGCAACGCGUAGAACCUUACCUGGGUUUGACAUGGAUCGGGAGUGCUCAGAGAUGGGUGUGCCUCUUUUGGGGUCGGUUCACAGGUGGUGCAUGGCUGUCGUCAGCUCGUGUCGUGAGAUGUUGGGUUAAGUCCCGCAACGAGCGCAACCCUUGUUCACUGUUGCCAGCACGUUAUGGUGGGGACUCAGUGGAGACCGCCGGGGUCAACUCGGAGGAAGGUGGGGAUGACGUCAAGUCAUCAUGCCCCUUAUGUCCAGGGCUUCACGCAUGCUACAAUGGCUGGUACAGAGAGUGGCGAGCCUGUGAGGGUGAGCGAAUCUCGGAAAGCCGGUCUCAGUUCGGAUUGGAGUCUGCAACUCGACCUCAUGAAGUCGGAGUCGCUAGUAAUCGCAGAUCAGCAACGCUGCGGUGAAUACGUUCCCGGGGCUUGUACACACCGCCCGUCAAGUCAUGAAAGUUGGUAACACCCGAAGCCGGUGGCCUAACCGUUGUGGGGGAGCCGUCGAAGGUGGGACUGGUGAUUAGGACUAAGU